AUAUCAGCUUCAGGAAGUUCAGACGCUUGUUUUUGCUGAUUCGUCAAAUCUCGUCAGAGAGAUUUAAAAAUUGCCGCCUCGAAAGCUCAUUGGCUCUUGUGCUUCCUCGUCGAUUGUGACGUGAUCUGUUUCCUGAUAUUUGAAUAAUAAACGCGCCUUCAAAGAGAGACUCGGGAUUUUAGCGAACAGCUUUAAUUCUACUCUGAACUUCACACAGAUUCCGGAGAUAGCGCUCUUCUGAAACACUGCACUGGAGAAAAGAAAGUUAAAGCUCAGGAACAGCAGAGGAAGCAUGAAGUUUAAUCUGUGAUGAAGAAACACAUAUGGAUGAGAAAGACUGUCCAGAUCUACUGGAUCCAGGAGGAGGAGGAGGUCCUGGAGUUUAUUACGCGCUUAUUGAGUUACAUCAUGACUCUGUUGACAUGGAGAUGAUGAAGAACAGAACGAUAAUAAACGUGUAAAGUGUCAUCGUUUCACUGAAAACUCAAGUCCCAGAACUACUGCAGAAGAGAGAAGGAAACUGCUGGAAAUAUAUCCUGGAGCACAGGAGAAGGAGUGACAGCAGGGACACUCAUGUCUGUUGUGAGUGGUUUAUAUUGUUAAAUUGUUAUAUAUUGUUAUAUUGUUAUUGUAAACCUGUGGCAGUUUGUUAAAGGCUCGUUACACUGAGAGUGAUUUAAUCGCUGCAUGUCUCUGUAUUUCUGCAGGUCUGGACAAAUCUUUAGCAGAUGUGCUCACGGAUAUAUAUUGCUGGUACAGCUAAGAUAUUCUCAUUUGACUAGUAAUUCGUUUUAAAAUAAUUAAAAGUAAUAUUUUGCUGUUGGAAUGUGUUGUUAAUUCGAUCAGACGAACGGCCAAGAAAUCUUUGAAUUAAACUCAAUACUGCAAAAAUAUCUGUCUCGAGUUACACAGAGUUACAUGCCACCUAUCAGCCAAUCAGAGAUUAGAAUGUGUUGUUUCCUGAGGCUCCGCCCUCUCAGUCUCAUUCCACCAAUCACAGCAGAGUCUGCCUCCGGUGGAUAUAAACUCAUCCAGCAGCUUCAGGAGUUCAUUCUGCUUUCUGCUCUGUUUUUGGGAAGGCUCUGUUUGAGCACGAGGUUUAUCACUGGAGGAAGAACACAGCUACACCUUCAGAGUCUGUGGUUUCCUCUGCAGCCGUGUGUUCAGUCUUGUUCAGGAAUCUCUGAUCACACACUGUCUGUUUUAUCACGGUAGGUCAGGAGAAAUCUAUGAGAUUGUGAGAUAUUAUGUGUUAUAUUAUAUUAUGAUAUUAUAUAUUAUUUGAUCUCUUCUUAACGUUUCCUUUGGCUGAGAAAUCAAAUACGCUGCUGAAAAAUGACUAAUUUGUUUUUCUUUAGGCUAAUAUUUUUUUCCUGUAUUUUCCAAAUAACAAUUUUGUGAUUGGUUUAUGUAGCUUACUACAAACGUUUUAUUUUAUUUGCAUUAAGUCAUCAUGCAUAUUGUACAAUGUAAAAAACAUGAUUUUAUUGCAUAUGUCAAUUAGCACGCUUUAUUCUUAAAACUUUAUUCUUUAUGGCUUAAAACACACACACAAACUUGUCGUAAUCAUGUGAGUCAAAAGUGUAUUUUUAUUCAGCCACAGCGAUAUCUGGAUGUUUCUGUUCAUAUGUAAGGGAUUUCAUGAAUGUAUUCUGUGAUCAGGACUAGGAGUAAGAUAUUUUUGGACACUUGACUAUAGUCUAUAUUUCUAGAGAAACAUCAGUCUUCAUGAGUGCGGUUUGUAUAAAAACAUUUUUCUUCUCUUUUUGAAAUACUUAUAGCUUGACUGGGAAGUGUUUUAUUAUUAUAAAAUACAUGGUCAAAGCAGUUCCUUGGUACACUGUAAAACAGAUUCAGAUUUAAUUAAAAUAUGAGUUCGUUUCGCUCAAAUAUUUUCUGAAAGUAUGUCAGUAACUAAAGCUAAAUCUGCAUUAAUAAAUCUGUUUCUCAUCCACA
ensembl:lncRNA